UACGUAGGGUGCAAGCGUUGUCCGGAAUUAUUGGGCGUAAAGAGCUCGUAGGCGGUUUGUUGCGUCGGCUGUGAAAUCCCGAGGCUCAACCUCGGGUCUGCAGUCGAUACGAGCAAACUAGAGUGUUGCAGGGGAGACUGGAAUUCCUGGUGUAGCAGUGAAAUGCGCAGAUAUCAGGAGGAACACCGGUGGCGAAGGCGGCCUACUGGGCUGCACCUGACGCUGAGCCGCGAAAGCCAGGGGAGCGAACGGG
rnacentral:rRNA from 1 species